UGCGUAGGCGGUUGGGUAAGUCAGAGGUGAAAUUCCGGGGCUCAACCUCGGAACUGCCUUUGAUACUGCCUGACUGGAGUACUGGAGAGGAGACUGGAAUUCACGGUGUAGCAGUGAAAUGCGUAGAUAUCGUGAGGAAGACCAGUGGCGAAGGCGAGUCUCUGGACAGUUACUGACGCUGAGGCACGAAGGCUAGGGGAGCAAACG
rnacentral:rRNA from 1 species